CCCUUAGAUGUUCUGGGCCGCACGCGCGCUACACUGACGAAUGCAACGAGCUUAUAACCUUGGCCGAAAGGUCUGGGUAAUCUCCAAAUUUCGUCGUGAUGGGGAUAGAUUAUUGCAAUUAUUAAUCUUCAACGAGGAAUGCCUAGUAAGCGCAAGUCAUCAGCUUGCGUUGAUUACGUCCCUGCCCUUUGUACAUACCGCCCGUCGCUCCUACCGAUUGAAUGGUCCGGUGAAGCGUUCGGACCGUGGCCUUUGGACGGUUCGCCGUCUGUUGGCUGCGGGAAGUUCGUUAAACCUUAUCAUUUAGAGGAAGGAGAANUCGUAACA
rnacentral:rRNA from 1 species